UACGAAGGGUGCAAACGUUGCUCGGAAUUAUUGGGCGUAAAGCGCACGUAGGCGGCUUGGCAAGUCGGAUGUGAGAUCCCUCGGCUCAACCAAGGAAGUGCAUCCGAAACUGCCGAGCUUGAGUACUUAAGAGGAUCGCGGAAUUCCCGGUGUAGAGGUGAAAUUCGUAGAUAUUGGGAAGAACACCGGUGGCGAAGGCGGCGACCUGGUCCGAUACUGACGCUGAGGCGCGAAAGCGUGGGGAGCAAACAGG
rnacentral:rRNA from 1 species